UAGGGAAUCUUCGGCAAUGGGGGGAACCCUGACCGAGCAACGCCGCGUGAGUGAAGAAGGUUUUCGGAUCGUAAAGCUCUGUUGUUAAGGAAGAACGAGUGUGAGAAUGGAAAGUUCAUACUGUGACGGUACUUAACCAGAAAGGGACGGCUAACUACGUGCCAGCAGCCGCGGUAAUACGUAGGUCACGAGCGUUGUCCGGAUUUAUUGGGCGUAAAGCGAGCGCAGGCGGUUAGAUAAGUCUGAAGUUAAAGGCAGUGGCUCAACCAUUGUAGGCUUUGGAAACUGUUUAACUUGAGUGCAGAAGGGGAGAGUGGAAUUCCAUGUGUAGCGGUGAAAUGCGUAGAUAUAUGGAGGAACACCGGUGGCGAAAGCGGCUCUCUGGUCUGUAACUGACGCUGAUGCUCGAAAGCGUGGGGAGCGAACAGG
rnacentral:rRNA from 1 species